GUUUUAUUUAUGAUUUGCCUUGCCUUGCUACACUUCACGCUGCAUGCUAUUGCUUAUACCUCUCAACAGCUGCUACGUGGAGUGGAGCAGUGUACCAGGUAGUAGCUGCUGUCAUUC
rnacentral:precursor_RNA from 14 species